rfam:Salmo salar isolate Sally breed double haploid chromosome ssa10, whole genome shotgun sequence.
GUAAAACAUGUAUUCAAGUCGCUUUGGAUAAAAGCAUCUGUUAAAUGGCAUUUU